GACGAACGCUGGCGGCGUGCUUAACACAUGCAAGUCGAACGAAGUGGCGAACGGGUGAGUAACGCGUAAUCAACCUGCCCUUCAGAGGGGGACAACAGUUGGAAACGACUGCUAAUACCGCAUACUGAAGGAGGGGAUUGCGUCUGAUUAGCUAGUUGGAGGGGUAACGGCCCACCAAGGCGAUGAUCAGUAGCCGGGCUGGGAGGAUGAACGGGCAAAAUGGGACUUGGACACGGCCCAGACUUCUACGGGAGGCAGCAGUGGGGGAUCUUCCGCAAUGGACGAAAGUCUGGAGGAGCAACGCCGCGUGAGGGAUGAAGGCCUUCGGGUUGGAAAGCUCUGUUAAUCGGGACGCGGUACCGGAAUAGAAAGCCACGGCUAACUACGUGCCAGCAGCCGCGGUAAUAC
rnacentral:rRNA from 1 species